GGAGCGGUAGCUGGCCCGAAUAUCCAUCGGGUUGCCACGCCGGGGGUCAGAGUUCAAACCCCCGUCCGCUCCGCCA
rnacentral:tRNA from 1 species